CCUACGGGAGGCAGCAGUGGGGAAUAUUGCACAAUGGGGGAAACCCUGAUGCAGCGACGCCGCGUGAGCGAAGAAGUAUUUCGGUAUGUAAAGCUCUAUCAGCAGGGAAGAAAAUGACGGUACCUGAGUAAGAAGCUCCGGCUAAAUACGUGCCAGCAGCCGCGGUAAUACGUAUGGAGCAAGCGUUAUCCGGAUUUACUGGGCGUAAAAGGCGUGUAGCCGGGCUGACAAGUCAGAUGUGAAAUCCGGGGGCUCAACCCCCGAACUGCAUUUGAAACUGUUGGUCUUGAGUAUCGGAGAGGCAGGCGGAAUUCCUAGUGUAGCGGUGAAAUGCGUAGAUAUUAGGAGGAACACCAGUGGCGAAGGCGGCCUGCUGGACGACAACAGACGGUGAGGCGCGAAAGCGUGGGGAGCAAACAGGAUUAGAUACCCCUGUAGUC
rnacentral:rRNA from 1 species